rnacentral:ncRNA from 1 species
GUCACAUCAGGGCACACCCGAGCGAAAGCCGGGGUCGCAAAGCCUCCGGUCUACCACCGGCACCCCCUUGCGGGGCGUCAGGUCACGAUAGCGGGGUUGCCAGA